rnacentral:tRNA from 1 species
UGGGGUGUAGCUCAGUGGUAGAAUGCUUGCCUAGCGUGCAUGGAGCCCUGAGUUCAAUCCCCAGCACCACAA